AUGAGCUACUUUCCACCCGUACACUCUCUCCAUCAACAAAACAACAAAACAAUGUUGUUGCCUAUGUCUGUUUCAAAGCUAACCCUAAGAAGGCACUUUUUCUCCAUUUCUCCGAAAUCAUCCACAGGGAUCUUUCUUUCUUUUUCAUCUCAUUCUCGAUUCUAUUCCGUUGAUCUUGAUGUUGACGAUGCUGUUUUGUCAUAUGCCUCAAACUCCAUCCAUUUUUGA